GACGAACGCUGGCGGCGUGCUUAACACAUGCAAGUCGAACGGAAAGGCCCUGCUUUUGUGGGUUGCUCGAGUGGCGAACGGGUGAGGAACACUUGAGUAACCUCCCCUUGACUUUGGGAUAACUUCAAGCAACUGGGGCUAAGACCGGAAAGGAGCUCCUGCUGCAUGGUGGGGGUAGGAAAGUUUCGGCGGUUGGGGAUGGACUCGCGGCUUAUCAGCUUGUUGGUGGGGUAGUGGCUUACCAAGGCUUUGACGGGUAGCCGGCCUGAGAGGGUGACCGGCCACAUUGGGACUGAGAUACGGCCCAGACUCCUACGGGAGGCAGCAGUGGGGAAUAUUGCACAAUGGGCGGAAGCCUGAUGCAGCAACGCCGCGUGCGGGAUGACGGCCUUCGGGUUGUAAACCGCUUUCGCCUGUGACGAAGCGUGAGUGACGGUAAUGGGUAAAGAAGCACCGGCUAACUACGUG
rnacentral:rRNA from 1 species